GAUGAACGCUAGCGGCAGGCUUAAUACAUGCAAGUCGAGGGGCAGCAGGACUGUAGCAAUACAGUUGCUGGCGACCGGCAAACGGGUGCGGAACACGUACGCAACUUACCCUUGUCUGGGGCAUAGUCCACCGAAAGGUGGAUUAACUCCCCAUAAGAUAGUAGAGUGGCAUCACUUCGCUAUUAAAUCUCUGGAGGACAAGUAUGGGCGUGCGGCGGGGUAGGUAGUUGGGGUGGGUAGCGGCCCACCAAACCUUCGAUCAGUAACUGGUGAAAGAGCACGACCAGUAACACGGGCACGGAGACACGGCCCCGACUCCUACGGGAGGCAGCAGUAAGGAAUAUUGGUCAAUGGACGCAAGUCUGAACCAGCCAUGCCGCGUGGAGGAUGAAGGCCCUCUGGGUUGUAAACUUCUUUUACAGGGGACGAAACACUUUUAUUCUUAGAAGCUUGACGGUACCCUGGGAAUAAGCACCGGCUAACUCCGUGCCAGCCGCCGCUGUAAUAC
rnacentral:rRNA from 1 species